rnacentral:rRNA from 1 species
GAUGAACGCUGGCGGCGUGCCUAAUACAUGCAAGUCGAGCGAACGGACGAGAAGCUUGCUUCUCUGAUGUUAGCGGCGGACGGGUGAGUAACACGUGGAUAACCUACCUAUAAGACUGGGAUAACUUCGGGAAACCGGAGCUAAUACCGGAUAAUAUUUUAACCGCAUGGUUCAAAAGUGAAAGACGGUCUUGCUGUCACUUAUAGAUGGAUCCGCGCUGCAUUAGCUAGUUGGUAAGGUAACGGCUUACCAAGGCAACGAUGCAUAGCCGACCUGAGAGGGUGAUCGGCCACACUGGAACUGAGACACGGUCCAGACUCCUACGGGAGGCAGCAGUAGGGAAUCUUCCGCAAUGGGCGAAAGCCUGACGGAGCAACGCCGCGUGAGUGACGAAGGUCUUCGGAUCGUAAAACUCUGUUAUUAGGGAAGAACAUAUGUGUAAGUAACUGUGCACAUCUUGACGGUACCUAAUCAGAAAGCCACGGCUAACUACGUG